GCAACAUCUUGCAAAAUUGAGAAUAUUUUCUCCAUGGCUUCAUCAAACAGAAUUUUCUUUUGUAAAGUGGCUUGACCCUCACAGCUAUGGCACAGAUAGCAGGGUCAUCAAAAGCUGCUCCAUUCUUCUGGAAGCUACAGAGAAAGGGAACCUGGAAACCUGGUAUGCUGGCAAAAAGGGGUCAUGGGUGGCAAAAUAAAAACAGAGAAGAUGUGGACCAUGUCAUCAUUUAAUGAAGGAAAGAACUGAAAAUUGUAUUUGAGAACAAAGACACUAAACUUACCACCAUGCCAAAAGUAGAAGAGAUAUGAGAAACUAAAUGAUCCCCACUUAGUAGGAAGCAUAAUAUUGCAUCAGAAAUAAAAUGGGAAUAAUUAUAGCACCUGCUUUAUUUGCAUUUUGUGACCAAUAAAUGAAAGAGUGUAUCUGCAAAGUUUUUACUUCAAGAACUCAAGGUACCAUGUAGUAAGAGCUGAACACACAGGAGCUGCCUUUGUUAUCAAGAUUUCUCACUAAUACAGCAUAUUCAAGAUAGAAUUC
rnacentral:lncRNA from 10 species